GACAGAGGGUGCAACCGUUGUUCGGAAUUACUGGGCGUAAAGCGUGUGUAGGCGGCUAGGUAAGUCGGAUGUGAAAGCCCCAGGCUCAACCUGGGAAGUGCACUCGAUACUGCUUAGCUCGAGUACUGGAGAGGUUGGUGGAAUUCUCGGUGUAGAGGUGAAAUUCGUAGAUAUCGAGAGGAACACCGGUGGCGAAGGCGGCCAACUGGACAGAUACUGACGCUGAGACACGAAAGCGUGGGGAGCAAACAGG
rnacentral:rRNA from 1 species